rnacentral:rRNA from 1 species
GCGCUAACUCUUCGCAAUUGGCUAACGCCAGACGAGGGAACCUGGAGUGUUCUUGCUUUGCAAGAACUUUUGCCGACUGUAAACAGGUUGGUGAAUAAGGACUGGGUAAGACGGGUGCCAGCCACCGCGGUAAUACCCGCAGUCCGAGUGAUGGUCACGAUUAUUUGGUCUAAAGCGUUCGUAGCGGGCCUGUUAAGUCCCUAGUGAAAUCCUGCAGUAAACUGUAGGGCGUGCUAUGGAUACUAUCAGGCUUGAGACUGGGAGAGGACAGAGAUACUUCUAGGGUAGGGGUUAAAUCCUAUAAUCCUAGGGGGAUCACCAGUGGCGAAGGCGUCUGUCUAGAACAGGUCUGACCGUGAGGAACGAAAGCUAGGGGAGCAAUCGGGAUUAGAUACCCCCGUAGUCCCUGAGCGGGCUGGCAAGGCGCAU